CAGCAUUGUAUCUGAAUUUAAACCUGCUCACAAUAACUACGUUGCCAGCAUUUAUCUUUGCUACCAGUAUUACCAUAACAACACCUUGUUAAAGAAGAAGAAGGAAGGAAGGUUGGGUUGCUAGCAUAUAUCUGUGCUACCAGUAUUACCAUAACAACACAUUGUUAAAGAAGAAGAAGAAGAAGGAAGGAAGGUUGGGUUGCUAGCAUAUAUCUGUGCUACCAGUAGACAAUUACCAUAACAACACAUUGUUAAAGAAGAAGAAGAAGAAGAAGAAGAAGAAGAAGAAGAAGAAGAAGAAGGAAGGAAGGAGGGAAGGGAGGAAGGAAUAUUGGGUUGCUAGGCAACUAAAGACAAGCCUCCUCGUCAUCAUCUCUUGGAUCUGUGAGUUUUGCCCCGUUCAGCUGUCGCCUGUGGACAUCCUCUCUGCAGCAUAAUGUCUUGUGCAGCCUACUUAGAUGGCAACGCAACGCCAAAGUCCAUGAGCAGAGCCAAACAAUGGACUGACGAGGUGGAGAACUUAUACAGAUUCCAACAGGCAGGCUACAGAGAUGAACUGGAAUACAAACAAGUAAAGCAAGUUGACUUGAUCGACAGGUGGCCUGAGACUGGGUUUGUGAAAAAGCUUCAGCGUCGAGACAACACAUUCUAUUACUACAACAGAAAAAGAGAAUGUGAAGACCGGGAAGUCCAUAAAGUGAAGGUCUAUGCAUAUUAAGUCAGGAGUGUCCAGCAAUCUCUUUUCCAUUUUGAAUAUCUUUUGACAUGUUUUUGAAGAAGACGUUUGUAGGAAGGAAGGCAGCACCAUCCCAACUGUGGAAUGUUGACCAGUUCACUGAAUAAAGGGUGUGAGGCUAAA